rnacentral:lncRNA from 1 species
GUGUGCCUUUGAUGUUCAUGUUUAAUUUAUGGAGAAACUCUGACCUAAUUUUAUCUCUCAAGAUCAGCCCUUAAAAUCUCACAUGCCCACCUCUUCUGCAACAGUCCCUGUCCCUAGAGGACUUGAAUAGUUUUCAUUCUGGCCUCCUGUCUCAUGAGUGCAGUUUAUUUUGAUUGUCAUCUUCUCCUGGAUAUAAAGAAGCUGGCAAAUCCAAAAUUUGCAGUUCAAGUCCAGAGGUCAUCAGGCUGGAGGUCCAGGAAACAACCAGUGUUGCAGCUCAAGUCUGAAGCCUCUCUGCUGACAGGCUUCUUCUUGCUCAGAGUAGUUUGUCAUAAUUGACGGCUUUAUAUGCAGCCUUCUGAAGCCCUUUAACUAGGCAAGAGAUCAUGUAGUCCCGCCUGGCUAUGCCUGGGUCCCAGGGCCUGGCUUCAAAAUGGUGAGAAGAUAAUGAGAAAAGGAAAGAAUCUAUGGAUAAGAAGUAAGGAGAAAAUCGUUGACAAUUGUCAAAAUCUUGCCUCAUUACUUCUCCAGGAAUGAUGUCUAUCCUUUUCUUCAAACACAUUCUGUAUUCUAGGAAUUCUGAAUUAUUUUGGAUUAGCCAAACUCACUAUAAACUCUACUAUAAAUAGGAAACCCUGCCAUGUUGAAAGGAAUACAACCCAACAUGGAGUAGAAACAAGAAAUCAAGAUAUACACUCUAGGACAAGGAGCAAUAAGAAUUUGACUUAAAAUGGUUAUUUAGCAUGUAUUAGAGUUGCAACUGGAUUUUAUGUAGUUAUGAGGGAACCCUGAAAAAAGUACCAUUGAACAGAAAUGAGAUUUGGUUUCAGAACUUCAGCCCAAAUGCUAUUAAAUCUUUUGCAUUUCUUGAACUAUACCCCUUGUGUCUUUGUCAUAAUUUUCCAGAGGUCUUCUCAGUCAAUAUGGGUUCAGUUUACAUAAUCCUGUCAACUGAAUAAAGUAAAUAUGUAUUAGGCUUCUGAGUAAAGUGUAAUCAUAAGCAUUGCAUUGAUAUAAGAUAUAUAAACUCAAGGAUAUAAAGAAACAAUUUUUUUGUUCGUUUUGUUUUGGUUUUGUUUUAAGUCAAAGGAAAGGUGUGGUUCAGGAGUGAUAAAUUGCAGCCUGGUGAUCAAGAAGAUUUAAAAUUUAUCUCAACUUUACUAAAGUCUUCCUGACUAUAGGCCCCUGACCAAUCUUUUCUUGGAGCACUUACUUCAGAAAAAUUGCAAAUGUUAAUUUUUUAUUUGCUGAUGAUGUAAUAUCUGUCUCAAGUAUCUGGGAAUCAUCAAUUUGAAAAGUAAUAGGAAAGAAAGAACCCUUGUCUCCUAGUUUCAGUGAAAUGAUAGGAGUUGUAGAUAAAUACCAACUAGCAACACAAAUGGCCUAAUAACAUUGCACAACCUAUUUGAUAACAUCAUUGUCUUCCAGUACUUUUCCAGUAGCUUCCCCUGGUGCUUAAGAAUUUACCCAACUUCUGUUUGAGUGGAGUGGAGUCAUUCUUUCUCCUUCACAAUAGUGUUGAAUAAA